AUCGAUGGAAUCUAGGACAAAACUACAGUAAAAUCAUGUGUAGUACUUCUGCUUCUAAAUAUUUAUACAUUUAGGAUUAUUUAAGUCAAAUUUUGUCACCUUAACCAGCUUUAAUUUGUAGAAAAACCACAAGCAUACGUAACACCAAACUAGCUAGUACCAUUAGGACCACUAUUAAGUACAUUUUCAUAUUGCAUUUGUUUGGUAUUUUUAUCUAUAAGAUUGGUCAAAAUUCAACUCCAUAUGUACAUAUAAUUAGAAACGGCUGGAAUAUUUUCUAAAGGUACACAGUAUACAUCUAGGACGGAAUAAAUGCACGUUAGAUGGAAAUGUUUUUCAUGCAACCACUAGGGAGGGUUCCCAUCUAUAUAUGAGCUCUUCUAUAAUAUCUCAGAAUUAAUUUGAACUGUCUAUUUUUUAGAUCCAAGGGUUCAGAUUUGAUGAUACUUCUAAUAUUUCAAUUGAGGUGUGUGGAGUAAUGACGUGGAGUAUUCAAAGCAGGACAUGGAGUAGUCGGACAAAAAAAUAAUAUCCCGAAGCCCCCGACUGACGGUUUCCCCGUCCCCUCGCCCCAUCCAUCUUUCUCUCACCCGUUCGCAUUAUGUUCCACCGCCGCCGUCGGCCACCUCGCAGAGCAGCAUCGAAAGCAAGGGGGCCGAGGAGGGGGAUCUAGCGGCGAGCGGCGGACACAACGACGCACGCUGGGGUCAGGGCGAGGAAGGCGGCGCGCGUUGGGCGAGGGCCAGGGACACAGCGGUGGCGCCCUUGUUUAUAGCAAGGAGCAGGAUCUGGCGGCGGCCGCGUCGCCGGAACGGCGACGACGAAGCCCACAUCUCAGUGCGCGCGUACGUGGCGUGGUUCGCGGGCUGCAGCCCCACGUGGUUUGUGGUGGCCUACAUCUCUCGACCGCCUCCUGCGCCGCCGCCGCCGCCGCCGUGGACUCCUACAUCUCAUCACCGCCGUGGUCACCGCCGUCAAGUUCAUGGAUGACAUGAACAACUGGAAUUCUCUAGAUGAGGUUACUGUUUAGGAAAACUGAAAUUCUUAGGAAGACAUGAAAACUAGUUUAGUUUGGUUCAAACGGCAGGCAUGGACCAUGAGAGGAAUUCAGAGACACCAUUCAGGAGUACGGUGAAGAGAUAGCUUGAUUCUCAUAUGAACCUUGUCCUUUUCUGCUUAACUUGGACAACUUUAUCUUACUUGAUUUUUAGACCGACCAUUAUUGCAGACUUUCUAUCUUGCAUCUUUUGUGCAUGUUUAAAUCACAGCCAACCAGUUAUUAGUUGGGGACCUUAAUUAGUCGGAUGAACUUUUAUGGGUCUUUGGUCAUUAGUGAUAGUCACAAAAUUAUCAGAGAAAUUUGAUCACUUUCAGGAGCACUAGUCGAGCUUUUGUAGGAAGCACAAUAUUGUGGUUGAAUACUUGAAUGGGAUCAAUGAGAACAUAUGCGUGGUUCUAUCUCAACAGCAUAAAAACAAAACUAAUUAGAUGGGAAAUGUAUAGUCACAAUUUGAAUGCUAGAUGUAACUAUGUAAUUUGAUCAUUUUAGAUGUCCUUGAUCCGCAA